rnacentral:rRNA from 1 species
AGUGAACGCUGGCGGUAGGCCUAACACAUGCAAGUCGAACGGCAGCACAGUAGGAGCUUGCUCUUACGGGUGGCGAGUGGCGGACGGGUGAGGAAUACAUCGGAAUCUACUUUUUCGUGGGGGAUAACGUAGGGAAACUUACGCUAAUACCGCAUACGACCUACGGGUGAAAGCAGGGGAUCUUCGGACCUUGCGCGAUUGAAUGAGCCGAUGUCGGAUUAGCUAGUUGGCGGGGUAAAGGCCCACCAAGGCGACGAUCCGUAGCUGGUCUGAGAGGAUGAUCAGCCACACUGGAACUGAGACACGGUCCAGACUCCUACGGGAGGCAGCAGUGGGGAAUAUUGGACAAUGGGCGCAAGCCUGAUCCAGCCAUACCGCGUGGGUGAAGAAGGCCUUCGGGUUGUAAAGCCCUUUUGUUGGGAAAGAAAAGCAGCAGGUUAAUACCCCGCUGUUCUGGCGGUACCCAAAGAAUAAGCACCGGCUAACUUCGUG